rnacentral:tRNA from 3 species
GUCCCCGUAGCACAGUGGUAGUGCGCCUGACUACGAAUCAGGAGGUCGUGCGUUCGAACCGCAUCUGGGAUU